rnacentral:lncRNA from 1 species
UAAAUGGGGGCCUUCUCCUGUUUUUCAUCUCCCAAUUGGUUUUUGAAAAUUUAUUCUAUUUAUAUUUUCACUGGAUUUCAGGAAGCAAAAAAAUAAGAAAUUUACAUAUUUCAGACAUACAAAAAUAUAUUAAAUUAGCAAGUUUGUUUACAAUAAGUUUUAACUAGUCAUAAAUUCUAUACUAUUUCUUUUUGUUUCUAUUUGGAAAUUUAUUCUAUUUCUUCUCAUCGGUGGAACUUGUAGGCAUCGGAUCUCACUGGGUUUCGCUGGAUUUCAUGAAGAAAAAAUUAAAACUUUACAUAUUUCAAACAUGCAAAAAUAUAUUUAAUUAGCAAUUAUAUUUAAAUUCUAGUGUGGUACCCAGCUUUUAGUGGCCACCCUGGCAAUCUAGGUAUAGCAAUUUCCUAGGAUCAUCUAUCAUGCGCUGCAACUUUGAUGCUUCCUUCUGAGUUUCGCAAUCUCUGUGUGCAUCCCUAAGCACUUGAUCGAGGUCAUCAGUAUUGCAAACUCAAAUAUUGCUGAAAGUUUACAUAGAAAUGCACCAAUUAUUUAGCUCAUAUUUAAUUUACAAAGAACUAAACUAUUAAAAAAUUUAAUAUUUUCCACAUAAUUUACUUAUUCCAAAAAUGGCUAAUUCCAUACCUCUGUCUGAAAAGUACUAAAGUAUGAAAUUACACCUACAAUUUAUAUGGCUAAUUUAUAAAUAUUAAAAACACAUUUACUCUAAUUUUUCCCUAAUACAUAAAAUUGAAAUAAUCUCAAUUCUACCUCACAUUUACUAUCCAUUCUCCCUCACAUUCAAACUAUCCAUCACAUUGUAGCUCAAAAAUAUGUAUAAAUACAAAUCCUCUACAUGCUUAACAAUAAAUAAACUCAUUUUUCUCCCUCUCUAAGUAUAAAACAAAGCUUAACAACAAUAAAUGAACGGAGCAUGAAGUAGCUAACCUUCACAACACUUUGGAUGAGUGAAAUCCCCACGGAAAUGAGGAAAAAAAAUUCAGCAGCACCUCCCCUAGGCUUGCUUCGGCGCCAUGGAGAGGAUGAGCUUCUCUGUCUUUGUGGAGUGGAGUGACUCGGGCUGGAGGAGUGGUCCCUCCUGUAGAUAAGAUUUUAUCCCGAUUGGUAAAUCCAACCGGGACAAAAGAUUAGAGCUUUUGUUCCGGUUGGUGUUUACUCCCGGUUCCCGGUUGGUAAAUACAACUGGGAUAAAAGGUUAGAUCUUUUGUCCCGUUGGUGGCUCCAACCUGGGGUAAAGGAUGGCCGUUUUAACUGAG